rnacentral:rRNA from 1 species
UACGGAGGGUGCAAGCGUUAUCCGGAUUCACUGGGUUUAAAGGGUGCGUAGGAGGGCAGGUAAGUCAGUGGUGAAAUCUCCGAGCUUAACUUGGAAACUGCCGUUGAUACUAUCUGUCUUGAAUAUUGUGGAGGUGAGCGGAAUAUGUCAUAUAGCGGUGAAAUGCUUAGAUAUGACAUAGAACACCAAUUGCGAAGGCAGCUCGCUACACAUAUAUUGACUCUGAGGCACGAAAGCGUGGGGAUCAAACAGG